AGGGACUCAUACGAGUUGGGUUUCUUUUGGCUGGCUGCUUUCUGGCGGGUCUGGGUUCAGCUUAGAUGGCCUUGAUCGUACGGUGGACCUCAUUCUUCAUUGGUGAGUGGGGGUGCCAUCAUUGUACAUUAAAUGCACGCCCCACUUGCCAUGACCUUUGCCCUCUUGGUGAAUUGAAAGAGUGGGGUUUUGGUUCCUGGGAUUUCACACCCUGUUCUCUCCUGACCAGCUGGUCUGAUUGAGUGCUGCCCCACCUCUCUUCUCCCUCUUCUAAUUCGGUUGGGAUGUUGUCAGGUGAACUUUUUUCUAUUAUUGAUAGGGAAUUUUGUGUCUGAGAGGCUUCGCUUGCUUUGUUUUCUUUUUGUGUCCGCUUCUUGGAAUUUGGUUGGCAUGGCUUUGUAGGGAAGUAUAUAAGCUUCUUUUUUUUUUUUAAUCUAUUCUGUGUGGUGAAUUCUCACAUUUCCUUUUGUUUUCUUAAUUCUGAGUUUUUUUUUUUUUAUUCUCUGAUUUGAUUUUGUAUGGUAGACAGAUUUCACAACUGAUUGGAAUUCUUAUUUGGAGGUAAUGAUUAUAUUUAAGCUUUUAUGUUUUCUUUCUUCUCUGUUUCUUUAUCACAUUUAGUUUCAAUCAUGAUUUAGAAUUAGUUUCUUUAGAAAUUUCCUUCAAGAUGACAACUGGGUUUAGUUCUGUUGUUUCUUUCAGAUUUAAUUCAAUCUGGACAGAAAAACUUUUCCUCAGCGGGUUUGAUGCAAAUAUAAAUAAUUAUAAGCAUUAAAGCUGACUGGUUUAUUCUUCGCAUCUAAAUGUUUUUUUUGCAGGAUAUUGCCAAUUACAUGCAUGAUCACAAUGAUGCAGAGGCUACACCGUUCUAUGCAAAUUGCUUGCAUUUGUAUUUAUGGAAUGCGUGAUGCAUUCAUUCAAGGUUUGAACAACAUUAGUUUGUGUGUGACAAUUCACUUCUAAUCCUAUAUACUGGAGACUCGAAAAACAUUAUUUAAUGGGCAUAGCAUGUUAACCAUUUCCUUUCAUCCUUCCACAUUAUUAUGGUGGAAUUUAUAAUAGCAUAAAUAGUUGCAACUUCCAAUAGCCUCGCUAAACAUGUUGCCAUUGCUUUUGAUGGCUGCUGAGAGGUUGUCAGACAAUUUCUUAGGAAGAAGGUUCGGCUGCUGAAAGGUUGUUAUGAUCGAGGUUACUUCAUUGGGGUUGAGCCUUUUGGUUGCGAAUAUGAGGUGGCCUUCCAUUAAUGCAUUUGACAGGGCAUUUAGCAUUUUGUGUUUGUUUCUAUCAGUUUAGGCUAUUAUGAUGCCGCCAGUAUGAAGGCUUCAGGUUAUCUCACUUGCCUUUUGUUUUUGGUUUUACUCCUGUGCUUGCUGUCUUUUUACUUCUUUGUCCACUUAUUCCUCGUGCGAUCUGAAAAGGUGUCUGUUUGUUUUUCUGUUGUCUUUUUAAAUGGUCAAUUCUGGUCUACGUUGUCCAUCUUCGUAAGGGUUUCUUCCUACUCUUUUCCUUUAGCUCAGAUGUUUGUUCUUUUUUAAGAGAGGGAGGCUGUUGUGGUCCUCUGCUUUGUUUGGUAUCUGUCUUCUCUUCUUUUUUGCUGAUUCGAUUGGUUGUUUGAAGGAUUUAACUUUGUCUUGAGUUGCUUCUUUUUUUUUUCUUUUUUUUUCCAGCAGGGGUUGCUUUUGAAGGAGGUAAUUGGCUCUCUCUAUUGGUUCUUCGGUUGAAUAGAUUUUGGGAGAUUCUUACUGAUUAUCAUCCUUUCAGCUGAUUUCAGUAUGGCAUGUCAUGUGAUAAAUUCUUUUAGGUAAUUGAUGCAAACCAGAAACAACCUGGUUACCCCACUGGAGUGUGUUGAAGUAGCAUUAUAGCUAAGGAAAUUUGAUUGUAUCAUGUAAUUUGAACUGCCAUUGUAGUUUAAACUUAUUACCUCCACUUGGAACAAUCAAACUGUAAUAUAUUACCUUUCCACUGUUGUUUCUGGUUUGCAUCAGUUACUCAUAUUUCAUUGAACUAAGUGGGGUAAUUUGCAUCCCAGAUAUCUGUCAGUGCUAAUGGCAGUUCACAUUCUACAAUGGUAAAUUUCAUUGACUUGCAAUAUUGGUACAGGACUAUUCAUCAAAAAGGUCCAGGACUUGCUUGCUAGAGACUAGGUGGUUCAGGUUCAUCAUGCUUACAAGCUGCUGAUUGGCUAGCAAACUUGGGUUUUUUAAAAGGCCACUGGGAAAAGCUGCUACGGAUGCUCCCUCUUCUGGUUUAAUCCCUGUCUUAUUUUAUGAUAUUAUUGGGAGUAUAUCUUUAUUUAUUAAUUGCAUUUGCUUUAACUUUGUAUAUCAAACAUGCAGAGCAUGGAUUCAAAUUUAAUAGAUAGUAAAAGGCAGGGAGCGUGCUAUAUAUAUUGUAUAAAUCAAGAAUUAUGUGAUCUUCAUAUAUAUACACUUAACCGUGUCAGCCCAAUUAAGCUUGUAAUGCAGCUUCAAAUGAGGGAACUAGAAAGAAUGUUUGAUGAAGUACAUUGUCUGUCUUAUACCAUUUUCAUUAUAAUGCUCCAGUUGUAAGUACGAGAGAGAGAUGAAGCCUCUUCAUUCCAUGAUAUCCAAUCUACAUGACCUGAUUUUCAAUUCUUUUCUAUUGUUUCCUAUCCAGAUUAUGAAGUUGAUAAACUAGAAAAUGCAGGCAUCAUCAAAGGAUUUGACUAUUAUUUAUUUCUG
rnacentral:lncRNA from 1 species